ACUGAGAAUAGGAGUAUUUCAAACUCCUGAUACAGUGAGUAACCUUAUCAUCAUCUUGAUUAUCGGAAGUGAAUUUUAAUUCGUUUUUGUGAUUUUAUGGAAAAUGAGUUUAAAUGGUAAAUCUUUAUGUUUUAUAAGCAAAAUGUGAUUAAAUGAAAUGAUUUUAUAAAUUGUCUUGAAAUUGAAUGAUGGCUUUGAAAAUAGAGUAAUUGGAGACCACUUGAUGUGUUGUAAAUUUAUGGUUCUAAUUGAUUAGCUUAUGGCAAUAUUGGCAUGACUGAUUGAAUUGGUAAAUGUGCUGAAAAUGUAUGAACUGUUGAUUUGCCUUGAGAGACUGUAAAAUAAAAUAAUUGCCAUGUCAUGCUAUCGCAAAUUUUAUUGUAUGGUGGGUUUAGCUUACUGCAGUGGGCGAGUUUCUGUGGACUAGCCUAUUAGAAGGGCACGGUAAACCCCUUUAUAUUUUACCUCAGUUGGAGAGGCUAGUAGGGUAACUCCCGAGGUACAAUUUUAGAGUUCACUUCACGCCAAACCACCACGUGAGGGUGAACUCGGCCAACGCCAAGGAACGGCUAUGUUUUCAAAAUAAAAACAUGAUUUAUGCAUACAUAACUUGUUAACAGCCAUGGCGGACUCGGUUUGGGAUAGCCCUCGGCCAAAGUAUCCCUGAUAACUGAGUAUGAGAAUGAUUUUUUGGCACGAGCCAAGUUUUUCAGAAAUUCAUAAGCCAUGUUGAUUACUCGAUUUAAAUGAAUUAAUUUUAUUUGGUUGAAAUGAGUUGAAAGGUGAUAAAUUACAGUAUGAUGAUUUAUUUCAAUCGUCUUCAUUUACUCGACUUUAGAUAUUUUGGAUGAUGUUUGUUUACUCAUUGGGAUUAUAUAAUCUCACCACCCUCCUUUCCACCCUUUUCAGGCUCAAGAUAGUCGGUAGAUAGCUCAUUUCGUUGAGGGCUACAAUUGGACUUGCAUCCUCAAAAACUGUAGGUUUAACGCUUUUGAUACUUUUGGUCGUUCGUGGGCCCACGUGUCAUUGUAAAUUAAAUCUUAUGCUUUGGUUAUCUGUAUUACAGUAUGUAUGAAUUUAUUUAACUUUUACACUACAAAAAUUAUUUAUCGGUAACUUUAUAAAUAUUGUUUUAUAAGAAAAUAGAAUAUUUUAUUGAAUAUUUUAAUUA
rnacentral:lncRNA from 1 species